GAUGAACGCUGGCGGCGUGCUUAACACAUGCAAGUCGAACGGAAAGGCCCAAGCUUGCUUGGGUACUCGAGUGGCGAACGGGUGAGUAACACGUGGGUGAUCUGCCCUGCACUUCGGGAUAAGCCUGGGAAACUGGGUCUAAUACCGGAUAGGACGAUGGUUUGGAUGCCAUUGUGGAAAGUUUUUUCGGUGUGGGAUGAGCUCGCGGCCUAUCAGCUUGUUGGUGGGGUAAUGGCCUACCAAGGCGUCGACGGGUAGCCGGCCUGAGAGGGUGUACGGCCACAUUGGGAAUGAGAUACGGACCAGACUCCUACGGGAGGCAGCAGUGGGGAAUAUUGCACAAUGGGCGCAAGCCUGAUGCAGCGACGCCGCGUGGGGGAUGACGGCCUUCGGGUUGUAAACUCCUUUCGCUAGGGACGAAGCGUUUUUGUGACGGUACCUGGAGAAGAAGCACCGGCUAACUACGUG
rnacentral:rRNA from 1 species